UACAGAGGGGGCAAGCGUUGUUCGGAAUUACUGGGCGUAAAGGGCGCGUAGGCGGCCAGCACAAGUCAGUUGUGAAAUCUCCGAGCUUAACUCGGAACGGUCAACUGAUACUGUGCGGCUAGAGUGCAGAAGGGGCAACUGGAAUUCUUGGUGUAGCGGUGAAAUGCGUAGAUAUCGAGAGGAACACCUGCGGCGAAGGCGGGUUGCUGGGCUGACACUGACGCUGAUGCGCGAAAGCCAGGGGAGCGAACGGG
rnacentral:rRNA from 1 species